rnacentral:rRNA from 1 species
GUGACUUAACGUUGGGACUAGUUGUGGGGUCCUUUCCACGGAUUCCGUGACGCAGCUAACGCAUUAAGUUCCCCGCCUGGGGAGUACGGCCGCAAGGCUAAAACUCAAAGGAAUUGACGGGGACCCGCACAAGCGGCGGAGCAUGCGGAUUAAUUCGAUGCAACGCGAAGAACCUUACCAAGGCUUGACAUACACGAGAACGCUGCAGAAAUGUAGAACUCUUUGGACACUCGUGAACAGGUGGUGCAUGGUUGUCGUCAGCUCGUGUCGUGAGAUGUUGGGUUAAGUCCCGCAACGAGCGCAACCCUCGUUCUAUGUUGCCAGCACGUAAUGGUGGGAACUCAUGGGAUACUGCCGGGGUCAACUCGGAGGAAGGUGGGGAUGACGUCAAAUCAUCAUGCCCCUUAUGUCUUGGGCUUCACGCAUGCUACAAUGGCCGGUACAAAGGGCUGCAAUACCGCGAGGUGGAGCGAAUCCCAAAAAGCCGGUCCCAGUUCGGAUUGAGGUCUGCAACUCGACCUCAUGAAGUCGGAGUCGCUAGUAAUCGCAGAUCAGCAACGCUGCGGUGAAUACGUUCCCGGGUCUUGUACACACCGCCCGUCAAGUCAUGAAAGUCGGUAACACCUGAAGCCGGUGGCCCAACCCUUGUGGAGGGAGCCGUCGAAGGUGGGAUCGGUAAUUAGGACUAAGUCGUACAAAGGGUAACC